AACGAACGCUGGCGGCAUGCCUAACACAUGCAAGUCGAACGAGACCUUCGGGUCUAGUUGCGCACGGGUGCGUAACGCGGGGGAACCUGCCCUUAGGUUCGGUAUAACUCCCCGAAGGGGGUGCUAAUACCGGAUAAUCUCUUCGCACCUAAGACUUAUCGCUUUUGGAUGGGCUCGCGUUGGAUUAGGUAGUUGGUAGGGUAAUAGCCUACCAAGGCGACGAUCCAUAGCUGGUCUGAGAGGAUGAUCAGCAGCACUGGGACUGAGACGCGGCCGAGACUCGGACGCGAGGGAGCAGUGGGGAAUAUAGGGCAAUGAGCGAAAGCAUGAUAACGCCGCGCCGCGUGAGUGAUGAAGGCCUUAGGGUUGUAAAGCUCUUUUACCCGAGAUGAUAGUGACAGUAACGGGAGAAUAAGCUCCGGCUAACUCCGUG
rnacentral:rRNA from 1 species